CCUCUCCUGGGGACAGAAAGCUAUGCCCCCAGCCCCCAAUCCUGGUGUCACGACCUGUGAAUUGAAGAACUCACUGUCAGGAAACAGGCAAGGAGAAGAGCAAAAGGAAGAGCCGGAGCCCAGAAUCUCCUAGGUCCUUCCACCUUCCUGCCUGAGCCCCAUCCUGAGGCUGUCCUGCCCGUGACUGACAAGGACCCGGGUUCUUACUCUGUCCCAGGAGCUCAGCUCUCAGGAGGAAGGCGUCUCUGCCCCCUUGGUCUGCAAUUAUACCCGCCGUGGCACAUCUGUCCCAUCGUGUCGCUGAAGAAGGACAACCAGAGAGGUGGCAGCUUGUCCCAAGGAACCCUGCAAGUUAAGGAUGAGGUGGGGUCCGCUCCGCCCUAAGCCGGAGUCUGCAGAGGCGCUCCCAAAACAAAACACCACAAACCAGGCGGCUGGAGCAACAUGAGUUUCUUCUUCACGGUCCCGGAGGCUGAAGCCCGAGAUCCAGGCGUGGCAGGGCUGGUUCCUUCCAGGACCCCUCUCCUGGGCUUCCCACCGCAGUCCACAAAGAUGCAGCUCAGACUCCUGCUCCAAGACAGCACCCAGGAUGCCAACAAGCCUCAGUACCUGAGAAAGGCUCCUGCCCCCCAACAUGGAGCUCUGAGCAGAUCCACAUGCCUAAAUCGGCUUGAGAGCAAAGUGGCAAAAGAGAAAUAAGGAAAAGAUACCAGCAAUCCCCACUCUUUUCAGCAAAAAGGGCCCCUUGCCCUCUUCUUCUGGUCAGAGAGACGGCGUGGAAGCCAGCUUCCAGGAUGCCUCCUGAUUAUCUUACCUCCCCGCCUUCACACCCCCGUGUCAUCCCCUAUCUUGCCUUGUACCCAGAUUGGCCUGUAUAACCAGCAGAACAUGCCAGGAUCCAUUACUAAAGACACCACAGUUUGGGACGCCUGAGCGGUUCAGUCAGUUAAGCGUCUGCCUUCAGCUCAGGUCAUGAUCCUGGGAUCCUGGGAUCGAGGCCCACGUCAG